rnacentral:lncRNA from 1 species
GCUCCCUUCCUUCCGCGGCUUCUUCUUUCCCUGUGUCCGAAGAGGUCUGCGUUGCGACUUACGUGGUAGUGCUUGGAAGCCCCUGCACCCUGAGCUGAUGAAGUUGUGCUGGGUCUACUGGGAAGGAGGAUGGGAAGACGGAAUCCCAGGUUGUGACAUCAUGAUCCUGAGGGCACUCCAAGUGGAUGAAGAGCAGCUCCUGCCCGCUGCUGGCAGCCUCAGGCCCAGGGGCCUCCACCCCGCAGAGGCCUGAGCCAAGCUCGCCAUUCGCCCUGGGCUGGAUCUCAGCUCCGGAAGGAGACGUCGAGAAGAGGCUGCCAAAGAGCCUGGAGGGGCCACUUCAGAGCAGCGCCUUGAAGAGGAAGGAGAGGGAGGCUCCACAGGAAAGUCCCAGGGCCAGGAAGAAGGUCAUGAGGGCGCCGGCCACCUCCCUCUCGUGUGGCAGCACCUGCCUAGAACACCCGGGAACAGGAGCUCUUAGAAAAUGCUGGGUCUAAAUCUGGACCCAGCUCCACUGCCCUCUGCCCAUCCAGUCUGGGCUCUGACCCAACCCCUCUGUCACCAUAACUGGCCCCUUCUUUCCGGGCCUCAGUUUCCUGGUCUGUAAAUGAGGCUGCUGGAUAAGGAUGUCUCUCAGGGCCUCUGAGUCUAACAUGAUGGGAUUCCAG